GCCGAGGUGGUGAAACUGGCAGACACGCAGCGUUCAGGGCGCUGUGAGCGCAAGCUCGUGGGAGUUCAAAUCUCCCCCUCGGCA
rnacentral:tRNA from 4 species